AGUUUAGUAUGUCGCAUAUAUAUACGAAAAAGUCCCUUUUCUGAGUUUAUAAAUUAGACCUCAAUUAAAGUGGUAUUGUGAUAGUUGUCAUUAGGGGUGGACAUUCGAUAUUUCGGUUGGGUAUUUAAGAAUUUCGGUUCGGUAUUCGGUUUAUCAAUUGUGUAUAUCAAAAAUCGUAUCAAAAUAUUUUGUGUGAUUCAAUA
rnacentral:lncRNA from 1 species